GACAGAGGGUGCAAACGUUGUUCGGAAUUACUGGGCUUGAAGCGCACGUAGGCGGCGUUGUAAGUGUCGGGUGAAAUCCCACGGCUCACCCGUGGAACUGCCCGGCAUACUGCGAUGCUAGAGUGUGGUAGGGGGGAGCGGAACUCCUGGUGGAGCGGUGAAAUGCGUAGAUAUCUGGAGGAACACCGGUGGCGAAGGCGACAUCCUGGACCGGUAUUGACGCUGAGGCGCGAAAGCCAGGGGAGCAAACGGG
rnacentral:rRNA from 1 species